GAUGAAGAACGUAGCGAAAUGCGAUAAGUAGUGUGAAUUGCAGAAUUCAGUGAAUCAUCGAAUCUUUGAACGCACAUUGCGCUUCUGGUAUUCCGGGGAGCAUGCUCGUUUCAGAAUCAAUAUGUUCUCACAAACUAUAUGGGUUGCAAAACCCCUAUUGGGCGUGGAUUUGGGCAUUUUUGCUAUGGUGUCUUUGUGCAACAUUGCAAUUGCCUUAAAAUGAUUGCGUGUAUGCCCCAAUUGGUAGUAAUUGGUUUACCCUCAAUGCAACAGUCAAAUGAAACAUUUUGGGGGACCUUUUGUGAACAUUGGACUUGGAAUACACUUCCAUUCUAUACAGCAACCAUCUCUAGUAUUGAGAUUGUUUCUGAACCUUGGUCUGAAAUCGAGCAAGAAAACCCGCUGAACUUAAGCAUAUCAAUAAGCGGAGGA
rnacentral:misc_RNA from 1 species